GUGCUCGAUUCAGCAGUACAUAUACUAAAAUUGGAACAAUACAGAGAAGACUAGCAUGGCCCGUGCACAAGGAGGGGACACACA
ensembl:snRNA U6 U6 spliceosomal RNA